ACUGUACGCAGUGGUGGUGCGGCAGGUCCCACGACCUUCCUGCGGGCAAUUGAAGCUGUGUUCCGCCGGCGGCGCGCGCUCCCCAGGAGUUCUGUAGGCGUCAGGCCUUCGGAAGAAGCUGCUUGCUGUGCAGGGUGUGCGGGGAUUCCGUAGGCGGCAGGACCCCGGCUGGGGCGGUGGAAGAGCCCUUGGAAUCUUGGAGGUCAGCGCCCUGGCAGUCACUCGCAGGAAUUUUUCUCAGUGUGCAGUGUAGGUGGGAAUGAGAAAAAGGGGCGCUUCCACAAUUGAGAUGCCACCCUCUCAGAGGAAAAGCAAACUCAGAUGAUCACCAAAAAUGGGGAAGCAGGAUAAACCAGUGGCCAAGUUCCAAGGGCAAAAAAAAUUGUGCCUGACCUUUCCCAUCUUCCCGAUGAUGUUGACAAAGGACAGCAACUGAGGCACAAAAGGAAGCUCUCCACAGGUCAAGCACUACCAGCCAGUCUGGACACAGAACCCCCGGCAGCUCCAGUGAUCAAGGUCACAGCUGGAUGUAAGUACAGAAGAUGGCAGGCUGGCAGUCCAGAAAAUACCCAUAAUGUGAUUUAAUGUGCAGAGCUGUACCAUGGUGAUGUCACAGAAAGGACUCGAUGGGAGAGGUACAGGCUGUGAACUUGGUUCUCCCAAUCCACCUCACAGUCU
rnacentral:lncRNA from 1 species